UACGAAGGGGGCUAGCGUUGCUCGGAAUUACUGGGCGUAAAGGGCGCGUAGGCGGAUGUUUAAGUCGGGGGUGAAAGCCCAGGGCUCAACCCUGGAAUUGCCUUCGAUACUGGACAUCUUGAGUACGGGAGAGGUGAGUGGAAUUCACAGUGUAGAGGUGAAAUUCGUAGAUAUUGGGAAGAACACCGGUGGCGAAGGCGGCUCACUGGCUCGUAACUGACGCUCAUGCACGACAGCGUGGGGAUCAAACAGG
rnacentral:rRNA from 1 species